UACGUAGGGUGCGAGCGUUAAUCGGAAUUACUGGGCGUAAGCGUGACGCAGGCGGUUAUGUAAGACAGAUGUGAAAUCCCCGGGCUUAACCUCGGGAACUGCAUUUGUGACUGCAUAGCUAGAGUACGGUAGAGGGGGAUGGAAUUCCGCGUGUAGGCAGUGAAAUGCGUAGAUAGUGACGGAGGAACACCGAUGGCGGAAGGGCAAUCCCCUGGACCUGUACUCGA
rnacentral:rRNA from 1 species